ensembl:lncRNA
UGGUUGUCUGGAUUUUCCGGUUUUUCUGGCCACAGCUACAAUAGGGAGGGAGGGCCAGUCCUCAUUGUUAUAUCUAGCAGCCUCUUUUUCCAAAGCAUCAGCAUCUCCCGGAUCUAAGGGACCCUCAUCUGGAAGAAGACCCUUCCUUAAUGCAGGCUUCGCAUCAGCAUACACUGGCGGAGCAGAUGGCUUAGUUUCACUUUUUGUAGGAGGCGGAGGGACAAGCUCGGGAACAUCAGCCUUGCCAGGCUCCUCAGAGGAAGGACUUGAGGAGGGUCUUUCAACCCUCUCUCCCUCAUACCGAGGAUCCAAACUAUCUCUAAUUAAAGCCCAUAAACUAAAAGUAUCUAUAGGGGCUUUAGUGGGUCCAUGACCAUCAUAAUAGUCCUGAAGUUGUUUUCCCACCUUAGUCCAUAUUUCUAAAUCUACUGUGCCUUUUUCAGGGAACCAAGGACAAACUUUUUUUACAAAUUUUAAAAAAUUACAUAAUUGUUGAUGCCCUACCUUUGCUCCACGAGACCGAAGCAUAUUCUUAAGUAUUUGCGCAAAAAGCAUUGGGCUACUGCUAUUACCCAUCUUGCUACUCCCGAGUGUAUUCACCGCCCUUGACUUAUCCGAGCUCACAAUCCGCGGUGUCCUUCACUAUGGUCCCCCGUAUUCAGGUCCCUGUUCGGGUGCCACCCGUGACGGAGCCCGCCGUCACCUGUCGAACAGUACCUGAAUGGGGGAAUGAGGAUGAAGAAAAAUAAAGACAAAGAGAUAGAGCCGGGAGGGCUCCCAGAGAUCGAGUGCCCAAGUUUAUUUUUCACCUUUCUUUUAUACACUUGUGCCUCUUUAAACAGUAUUGCUUCGAAGUAACAGGUGGGUCUCUGUUGACUUACCCGCGGGCCAGGACAAGUGGCGCCCAACGUGGGGCCCGAGAACGGGGGAUCCAGUGAAGAACGCUGCUCGGGGGCCCAAUAAAAUAGAAGAGACAAAUAAAAUAGAAAAAAGAGGAUUGUGUUUGACGUGAACCUGCCAUCUUUCCUGCACCUCGAUGGUUCCUCCACAGGGAUGGCUGCCUAUGUGUGGGACACUAACACCGUCCAAUUCCAGACCAGUUGUUCCUCCACCCAAAUGACCGAGUUACAUGCGGUUGCAGCGGUUUUUUUGGCCUUCCCUGAAGAGGCCUUUAAUCUUUUUACAGACAGUGCUUACAUUGCCCAAUCGGUACCUCUGUUAGAAACAUGUGGACAGAUAAAAAACGUUUCCCAGACAGGUUAAAAAGAUGACAUCCCUGAUUCUGUUACAUGGCCUGUUGCUGCUCCUGGCACCGACAGCAGAAAGCAGAUUUCAACCAGUUAACAAGGAACAACUGCUCAUUGCCCUCAGAAACUCUCACAGACCAGAAAAUAUGUUUCUUCUUUGAUUUGUAUGGAAUUGGCACAGGCUGUGGAUGCUGAUAAGAAUGAUGUCCACUGAAAGUGGCAAUAUGUCUUAUUUUUGAAGCUAAAAACAGAAGUGGAAGAACUUAUAAAUGCAGAUCGUCAAGAUUCCAUUAAUCUCUUCCUGGGAGUUUUCCAUCCUCCCGAAGGAAACUUCCAUUCUGGGAACUCAAACAGAGUUUUGUCCAUAUCACAAAAAAACCUAUGAAACUUUUACCAACAAGAAAAAGUGACUUUUUACCUAAGACUGUUGGCAUCGAUCCAAGUCCAUUUACUGUGUAGAAAUCAGAUGAAACUGGAAAAUCAGUAUUGGCAAAUUGGAUGGAUAGUAAUGACUUGG